rnacentral:siRNA from 1 species
UGUCUUGAUUUUGCCAUACAGC